UUUCUGAAAUUUCGCCUUCAGGAAGUCAUCACAACAUGGCUCCUCUAUUGACCCUUUAAAAACGUUUUUCCCGCCCUUUCACAGAGAAGUAGCUCCUAUAAUGAGCUCAACAGAUGCGCAGCUCCACCAGGUAUUUGCUAUUUGGUUCUGGCUACUUUGGAGGAGUUU